GCGGAGAUAUUGGAUGUCAGACUUCCAAGGAGGAAAUAGCUUUUGCUGAAACUCAUUCAUAUGCUUGCAGUCAUGCCCGAAUAGCCCAACCUGGGAGCAACUUCCAAAGGGGCUGAGAAGCGAACCAUCACUGAGCCAGCUACAGGACAACAUCAUCCGUAUCCUCGCUGCUAAAAUAAGAGAGCGCAGAUGACGACAAGGACUUGGUGAAAAAACACUGUCAGCAUCAUUAACCUGAAGAAAGCGAUUGAUUUGAAUUCUGAGGAAGUAAAAAAAUCUGAAGCAGCAGAACGCAACAUUGAAAACUCAGGUUGCAAAGCAAGAGAAGAAACUCACUGAAAUGGAGUAAAUGGUAAACGAGACUGACCGGUCGGGUCGGAGAUGGAAUCUUCGAAUUUACGGAAUCGCAGAAAGAGCUGAGGAGAACAUCAAAGCAAAAGUGAAGGACAUUUGCAGGACAAUAGUCAGAUUAAACAUGAACGGGCCAAAACGGACAUGGCAGCAGGUCAAAAUCAAAUACAAGAACAUUCUGCAGAAUGCAGUGAAAAAGAAUACCCACAGACAAGGCACGGGUGGUGGGUCACCAAAGGCUGACCUUACCCCAGCAGAGGACAUGGCCUUGGAGCUAAAUAAAGGCAGGCCCGUCUUAGAGGGGAUCCCUGGGGGAAAGAGACGAGCAUAGGUUCCUCCCAAGAUGCCACCCGCUUCA